rfam:Haemonchus placei strain MHpl1 genome assembly, scaffold: HPLM_scaffold0000596
GGCCCAAAUCUGAAGUAGUGUAGAUUAGUAAGAUCAGCUGAUCCUACUGUUCUACUGUACUUCAGAAUUGGGCCC